GAUGAACGCUGGCGGCGUGCCUAAUACAUGCAAGUCGAGCGAACGGACGAGAAGCUUGCUUCUCUGAUGUUAGCGGCGGACGGGUGAGUAACACGUGGAUAACCUACCUAUAAGACUGGGAUAACUUCGGGAAACCGUAGCUAAUACCGGAUAAUAUUUUGAACCGCAUGGUUCAAAAGUGAAAGACGGUCUUGCUGUCACUUAUAGAUGGAUCCGCGCUGCAUUAGCUAGUUGGUAAGGUAACGGCUUACCAAGGCAACGAUGCAUAGCCGACCUGAGAGGGUGAUCGGCCACACUGGAACUGAGACACGGUCCUGACUCCUACGGGAGGCAGCAGUAGGGAAUCUUCCGCAAUGGGCGAAAGCCUGACGGAGCAACGCCGCGUGAGUGAUGAAGGUCUUCGGAUCGUAAAACUCUGUUAUUAGGGAAGAACAUAUGUGUAAGUAACUGUGCACAUCUUGACGGUACCUAAUCAGAAAGCCACGGCUAACUACGUG
rnacentral:rRNA from 1 species